AGUGAACGCUGGCGGUAGGCCUAACACAUGCAAGUCGAACGGCAGCACAGUAAGAGCUUGCUCUUACGGGUGGCGAGUGGCGGACGGGUGAGGAAUACAUCGGAAUCUACUUUUUCGUGGGGGAUAACGUAGGGAAACUUACGCUAAUACAGCAUACGACCUACGGGUGAAAGCAGGGGAUCUUCGGACCUUGCGCGAUUGAAUGCGCCGAUGUCGGAUUAGCUAGUUGGCGGGGUAAAGGCCCACCAAGGCGACGAUCCGUAGCUGGUCUGAGAGGAGGAUCAGCCACACUGGAGCUGAGACACGGUCCAGACUCCUACGGGAGGCAGCAGUGUGGAAUAUUGGACAAAGGGCGCAAGCCUUAUCCAGCCAUACCGCGUGGGUGAAGAAGGCCUUCGGGUUGUAAAGCCCUUUUGUUGGGAAAGAAAAGCAGCAGGUUAAUACCCCGCUGUUCUGACGGUACCCAAAGAAUAAGCACCGGCUAACUUCGUG
rnacentral:rRNA from 1 species